rnacentral:lncRNA from 1 species
CUCAAUCUGAAAAUUCUAGCUCCGCCCGGUGAUGAUUUUCUAGAUGACCAUGGUGACGGACGUGGAGGGUAUGGCCACGGACAUGGAGGGUAUGGCCAUGGCCACCACGGCAAAGGGGGGCCUUGUGCUGCUGAGACUGAAACCAAGAAUUAGAUAACCUGUUAGUUUGUGACUUACGUUGCAGGUGUGUUGUAAGGGUUGUGGUACAAAAUAAAGUUGUUUGGUUGAGUAAUCUAUAUGAACUCUCAAUCAUAGACUCUUCUUAAGCUUGUUCUCGUGUUCUCUGUAAUGUACGCAUUGGAAUGUGUUCUCUUGUUAUGUGAUAAAAUGUGAUUUAACUUGCUCAAUACAUAUUAUGUCAAAAAUGUUUAGUAUGGCUUGGCUCCUUAAAAUUGAGAGGGAGCACAUCCUCACAACAAACGAGAUUUUGGCACUAGUUAAACUUCACAAAAAUUAAAUUUAAAAAAAAAAAAAAAAAAAGAUUAAAAGAACUCAGAAGAAAAAAAAUUAAAGGAAUUUGCCAAGUGUCAAACCUCUAUUUGUUUUGAGGAGGAACUGCUCCUCAGUUUUAUGGAGCCAAACCUUUUCCUAAUAUUAAUGGAGUUCAUGUAUGACUCAUUUGUUUUGUGUGAUCACCAUUUGGUUAAUGAAUUGUGCGCAAAAUUUAAUAGGAUACGGAUCAUCUGCUAUGAUUUUAGUCCCCUAAUAGAAUGGAUCCUACUUUGGAGCACAUGUGGUAUCGGUAGUUCCUACUCGCACUCACAAAUACAUAUUGGUUGGUCCAUUAAAAUGCAAAUAUCACCUCUCAUAUCAUUAUGCGAACAUUGGGAACAAGAGUAGUGUUUCCACCGUUGACAAGGGAUGGAAGAUCUAGCUCGACGGAAAAAUAAGGAGUAAAACUUAUAGAAGCAUGCAUGCCGUGUAUGUAUUGUUGUUAUCAUGGAUACUAAUUUGGCAAUUAAUUUUCUAAUGGGUGAAUUAAAAAAACAUUUUUAAUCUAUAUAUGUAAAGUUAAAUAUCCUUUCUUGAUGAACAAUUUGUAAUUGCAUCUCUGUAAUUUUUAUGGGUUUGUGUUCUUGGUGGUUGACUAGUCAUUGUAUGAAUGUUGAAUAUGAGUAAGGUUCAUGGAGACAAAAUUGGUUUUGGUUAUGGUUGUUCUAGUUUAUGCGUUCCUCCUUCUUUGACCACAUUUGUCAAGGAGUCAAAUAAAAAAUUUGAUGUUUUAGAGCCAACUAGGACUCAAAGAUUCAUUCCUACUUGUCACCAUUGUGGUGUGAAAGGUCACAUCCAACCUAGGUGUAAUGCUCUAAGGAAUGUGUCUAGAGCAACCAAUGCAAAUGGCUUUAAGAACCAUGUUUCAUCUCUUAAAACAUGUGAGCUUGCAAAAUCUGUUCUUUGUAAAAGGGAUAAACCAAAAAGGUUCAUUCCUACUUGCCAUCAUUGUGGCACAUUGGGACACAUAAGAUCAAAGUAUUUUGAGUUUAGGAAUUUUGAGAAAAAGUCUUUUGUUCAUUUCAAGAAAGUAAAUGAUGACUCACUUCAAGUUGAAGCCAUGGCAGAGGCAUGAGAGGCGAGAAAGACUAUGUACUUUUAUAGUGUUAUCCCCGACUAAUAACACCAUAACAUUCGUGAUAAUAUUUUAAUGUGGAAUAAUAUUAUUGAUCGAAUAUAACAAAAUAGUACUAUCCCCGUUGCGACUACGUUUUUAUCCGUGGACUGCUAGGCUUACCUAGUCUUUAAAAUGCAGUUGAAGAAUUUAUUAUUAUGAAAAUGACGUGAGAGAGGGAGGGGGUCAUAUAUUUUCAGAAUAAUUUUGCUAAAAAACGAAAGCAGAAGAAUUAAUUAUUAUGAAAAUGACGUGUAAUAAAACCACAGGUUGUGUGACAUUGCCGUACAUGCAGUCGGUGAGUCCACAGACGAACAUGCAUUUGUUUUGAGUCACAUUAAUUAAGCAGUGAAUGGGGGCACUAGUUGUCCAUCUUUAUAUGACCCAAUGACUUAAGAUAUCUAUAUAUAUGCAUACGGACUUUAAAAAGUAGAAGCAAUACAGCCUUAGAAAGGCAGUGCGUGCAUGGAAAAAGAUUAUUAGGUAACGAUAUAAAUUUACGGUACCUAAUACAUUAGCGCUAAUUGAUAAUUUUUUGAUACUCUAAUAAUAAUAUUGACAAUUAGUGUCGAAAUAUCAGGUACGAUAAGUGUCGAAUUGAGAAUAUAUUAGGUACGAUAAAUUGAUAUUAAGUAUUUCGUCGGUAGUUGGUAGGUACUUAGUAGCUAUCAAGUAAAUAUUAUAUGAGAUACGAAGAUCAACAUGAAUUAUAUCUUUGUAAUUUAGUAGCUAUGCUUGUAUCUGGUCCUGAUUUGCAUAUCUAUUAUUAGGUAAAAUACUUUGAAAUUAUUGAACUUUAAACAUUUUCAUUAAUCAAAGGGCUAUUAAGAACCCAAAGGCAAAUAUAAUGGUUUACGUGGGUGGGUAUGGAACUUGUGUGUAUUCUUUGACCUUGUCAAUCUUAUUAAUGAGUGUUGGUUGGUGGGGUCCCGAUUUGCAUAUCAAUUAUUAGGUAAAUUACUUUGAAAAAGCACAAAUCGUCAAAGUUUGUGGACAUGAGGGAUAGAUACUGUGGCUGGAUUGUCAACAAUGACAGAGUGAACGACUUUUCUUCAUGGUGUGCUUUAGCUACAUCUUCUAUCCUUCUGCGUUGGUCACAUUCAUGUAAUCUUGUACAUGAAGCAACUUACCACAAAGGCUACCAAAACUUUAAUAACUAUAGGUCCUACUACCUGUGCAUUUUUACUUGACUAAUACAAUUAGUGUAAAUGUCCUUUUACUAUAUAAUUAGGUAUAUCCAUACAAAAUAAAUCUUUAAUCUUGAACAUAUUUAUACAUGAUAUACGGAUUCUAUGACUCACAAAGAAAACCUACCAUACAUUUGUGUUUAUGUUUAAUCUCAUUUUCUCUUUUGUAAUUCCAUCUACUUUUCAUAAGAAUUUGUUUGAACCAAUUUAUAUAUAAAAACUACCCUUGUUUUUAGAUGAUUAUUGUGGUAGGAUGAAAUCAACAAAAUAGACAAACACGGUAUUUCAAGAAAAGACUAUAAUAACAACUAUCUAAUUGAAUGAUCAAAUAGUUUCGGAUCCAAGUGAUUGUCGCAAAGAUGAUCUUUGAAGAAAUAUCUAAAAACUAAAUGGUAUCGGAUUAUUGGAAUGCAAGGUGAGUCUUAUAAGAGUGUCCUUCAAAUAAGCUUAUUUGAGAAAUCCCUCAACUAAAGUCAUAUCAGUCUCCUUCUAACAGUAUAUAUAUACACACCACACCUUUUGUGAAAAUCUAAAAAUACUAAAUUAGGAAUGAAAACUGACAGUUAAAGAACUCUCGUGAUCACUCUACAAGAUUGUGACCUGAAUGAUGAAUCAGCAGCUUAAGUUUCAGCCUGUUUGCCACAUACCUUGAAAGUAUCCCACCCAAUUAAUCACACAAAAACAACUUCUUUUGACUUGAUCACACAAGACAACUUAGCUAGCUUUUAUUGUCCCGCCUCUAAUAAAAGCUUACUUAAUACGUAGUCCCAUCAACCCUACCAUCAAAGUAGGGGUUGAAUUUGGCGCUCUUUAACCUUUAAUCACCACAAGAGUCACAAAUUCUUCUCUUCUCUCUCCUUAUCUUUCCAACCCCACUGAUAUCUCAUAAAGGUCUAUAAAUAGGGACAACCAAGCCAUAUUAUACUCACUCAUCAAUCAUCUCUUGCAUACUUUCAUAUAUACAUUAUCGUGCUUGUUGUUAAGCAAAACAUGGCAUCCUCAAAGGCUUUUCUUCUUCUUGGUCUUGUCUUUGUUGUUCUCCUCAUCUCCUCUGAGGUCUCAGCUACUCCAACUCGUGAGUUUCUCACUUUCUUAACUAAAUUAUAUAUAUUAAAUUAGUAAUUGUAUCUUUCUUUCCAGUAACGAUUUGUGAAUUUAGGCACAUUUUAAUUAAGGUGCACUGGUCGUGAAAAUGAUUAUGCUUUGAACUCUUUUUCUGCAUGUAGGGUUAGUGGUUGUUGCACUUGCAUGGCUUAAUUUGCACCUUAUUAAAUACAAACUGAUCCAUGAUUGUUAUAAGUUAUGUAUAUGUUUUUGCUUUAUAUAUAAAAUUUUUGUUUGUUCUCUCAGAGGAGAGUAUAGUCAACGGUGAUGGCCACGGACAUGGAGAGUAUGGCCAUGGACAUGGAGGUUAUGGACACGGACAUGGAGGGCAUAACCACGGACAUGGAGGGUAUGGCCAUGGACAUGGAGGGUAUGGCCACGGCCACCACGGCAAAGGGGGGCCGGGUGCUGCUGAGACUGAAAUCGAGAAUUAGAUAACCUAUUAGUUUCUGUGACUUACGUUGCAGGUGUGUUGUAAGGGUAGUAGUACGAAAUAAAGUUGUUUGGUUGAGUAAUCUAUAUGAAAUCUCAAUCAUAGACUCGUCUUAAGCUUGUUCUCGUGUUCUCUGUAAUGUACGCAUUGGAAUGUGUUCUCUUGUUAUGUGAUAAAAUGUGAUGUAACUUGCUCAAUACAUAUAUUAUGUAAAAAAAAUGUUUAGUAUGGCUUGGAUGCUUAAAAUUGAGGGGAAGCACAUCCUCACAACAAAUGAGAUUUUGACACUUGUUAAAAUAACUUUACUUUUUCCUAAUAUUAAUCGAGUUUAUAUAUGACUCAUUUGUUUUGUAUGAUCACAUUUGGUUAAUGAAUUGUACACCAAAUCUAAUAGAAUAUCGAUCCUCUGCUAUGAUUUUAGUCCUUUAAUAAGAUGAAUCGUAAUUUGGAGCACAUUUGGUAGUUCCUACUCUCACUCAAAAAUACAUAUUGGUUGGUCCAUUAAAAUGCAAAUAUCACCUCUCAUAUCAUUAUGCGAACAUUGGGAACAAGAGUAGUGUUUCCACCGUUGGCAAGGGAUUGGAAGAUCUAGCUUGAUGGAAAAAUAAGGAGUAAAACUUAAAGAAGCAUGCAUGCCGUGUAUGUAUUGACGAUACUAAUUUGGCAAUUUCUAGUGGGUGAAUUAAAAAAACAUUUUUAAUCUAUAUAUGUAAAGUAAAAUAUUGUUGUAGUUAAAUUUUAAAAUAAUUCAUUUAAGAAAUUUGUGGUCAAUUUGUGAUUGCAGAGGUUCAAGAGAUUUGUGGUCACUUACUGUUGGAUGUAAAUUUAACGGUUCACUUACUCUUGCACUCCUUUUAAGAAACUUUUUUGAACUAUUGAAUGUUACAUCCAAAGGUGGGUGAUCACAAUCUCUUAGACCCCUAUAAUCCAAGAGAUCGAAACUAUUAAUAAGAUAUACAAAUGCAUGAACUAAUUUAGUUAAAUUGAUAACUCGAGGACUAAAGUGGCGAAUGAGUUAAAACAAAAGAACCAUUUCAACAUUUAAACCGAAAAAAACAUUUUGAUUAUGUGGGCUGCUUUCGCAAGAGAUAAAUAAAACCUCUUUUUCUACGACCUAGUGAUUUAUAAUAAAAUAUUAUUUAUCUUACUAUUUCUAUUGCAUGCUGCCAUAAGCCUUAUAUUUUUAUAUUGUAAUAGAGGUGAAACGCGUCACUCAAUGACUUUCAGUAUGGGCAGUAGCAAAAAUAUUAGAAAUUAAUUUAUGCAUAUGCUCAGUGCUCAAAUUUAAGGGAUGAAGCCACGUGAAGAUUUUGUUAUAUAAAAACAAAAAGAAGCAAAAAAGAAAAAUGGAAGGCCACCCCACGUGAAAUGGUGAAGCAACGGCUACAAUUACAAAGCAAACCAUCAACAAAGAAAUAAAAAAAAAAAAGCAAAAGGAAGCAUCCAAUGCAAAUUAUAAAAAAAAAAGUAAUAGGAAACCGUGCGAAUGCCAGUCUUCAUUCUUAAUAGCUACCAUGCCAAGUAUAUCAAUUUACGGUGCCUAAUACAUAGGGGUGGCAAUUUCGGAUACGACCCGAUACACGACUCGAAACCCGCACGAGAAAUUAGCGGGUUCAACCCGCACGAUAAAAAAACGGGUCAAUUUCGGGUCAACCCGUUCUGACCCGUUUAAUAAACGGAUGGGUUUCGGGUCAACCCGCUAACCCGCUAUAAUACCUAUCUAACCCGUUUAUUAAACGGGUCGUGUCAACCUGUGUACAACCCGUCAACCCGUCUCUUCUCCUUUUUUUUUCCUUCUUUCUUCUCUUCUCUCUUUUUUUUUUUCCUCUCUUUUCCUUUCCUCUUCUCUCUUUUUUUCUUCUCCUCUCUUUUUUUUUUCCUCUCUUCAGUUUUUUUUUUUCCUUCUUUCUUCUCUUCUCUCUUUUUUUUUCCUCUCUUUUCCUUUCCUCUUCUCUCUUUUUUUUUUCCUCUCUUUUCCUUUCCUCUUCUCUCUUUUUUUUUUCCUUCUCUUCAGUUUUCUCUCAUCUCUCUUUUUUCUGUCUUACUUUCCUUCAAUCUUCUCUCCUAUCUCUCUCUCUCUCUCUCUCUCUCUCUCUCUCUCUCUCUCUCUCUCUAUUUUUUUCUUUCUUUAGCUUCUCUCUUCUCUCCUCUCUCUAUCUUUUUUUUUUCUUUCUUUUCCUUAUAUUUUCUCUACUCUCUCUGUUUUUUUUUAAUUAAAAUUUUUUCGGUUGUGAGUUUUGUAACAUGCAUGUUAUUCUUUAUGAACCCGUUACACGACUCGAAACCCGCACGAUAAAAGACGACCCGAACCCGACACGACACGUUUAUUAAAUAGGUUGGGUUCGGGUUGAGCAUUCUUGACACGUUUAUUAUCCCGACACGACACGAACCCGACACGACCCGACCCAUUGCCAGCCCUACUAAUACAUUAAUUAGCACUAAUCGAUAAUUUUUUGAUACUCUAAUGAUAAUAUCGAUAAUUAGGAGUGUAUCCAAUUCAAAUUUUUAAUCACUUUUAUAGAGUUUAAAAGUUUGAAUGUAUUCAAUUUAGAUUUUUAAAGAGUUUAUAAAAGUCUAAUGGUAUUCAAUUGUGACUUUUAAAAAGUAGUUAAAGUAGUUAAAAGUUUUGUGGUAUCCAAAAAGUUAAUUAUUUUAAAAAAAGCUUAUUAAAUGAAUGACUUUUCUAUAAAAGUAUUUGAGCUAAUUGUUAAGAGCAAAAGUCUUGUUAAUUUAUACUAGUGACUUUUAUAAGUAUUUAAGAAUUUUUCAACUCUAUAAAAAUUACUCAUUUAAAAAAAAUCUUUAUAAGUAUGAAUUGGAUACACUUAAUAUUGAAUUCAUAAUAUAUCAGGUAUUGUAAAUUUAUAUUCCGUAUCAGGCAGUAAGUAGCUAUAUAGCCAUAGUUUCGAGUAAAUAUUAUAUGAGCUUUGAAGAUAAUUAACAUUUAUUCUCUUUGUACUUUAGUAGUUGGGGUUGUAUCUGGUCCUGAUUUUGCAUAUCUAUUAUUUGAUAAAGUCACCUCUGAAAAAGCACAAAUCAUCAAAGUUUGUGGACAUGAGAGAGAGAGAUUACUGUGGCUGGAUUGUCAACAAAGUGUGAAUGGCUUUUCUUCGUGGUCCUUUGGCUUCAUCUUCUACCCUUCUGCGUUGGUCACAUUCAUGUAAUUUUAUAAAGGAAGCCACGUACCACAAAGGCUACCAAGGGCUGAGUUGGAAUCCCAUUCUAAGUAAGGAUUCUUAUGGUUUCAAAUGAUCUAGUUACAUGAGAACUAGGAAAGGAGAACUUUCCCUACUUUGAACCCGACUCUUUGAUAUUAAGAAUGCUGGUUUUAAGAAUGAGUGAUUGCCCUUCUCCAACCCUUAUUGCCCAACCUAAAAGCAGACAGCUAAUGCAAUCCACUUAUUAAUAACUAUUGUAGAUUGAUCUAUAUUAAAUUGACUUGUAUUAAUAUAACUUUAUACACAGUACUAGAUAAUAUGGUAGAGAGAUUCAGAAACUUUAAUAAUUGUGACCACAAAAGGAAACAGUAUAGGUCCUACCUGUGCAUUUUUUCCUGCCUAAACCCUAAACACCUUUUGUUUUUGUGAUCAUCUAAACAUGCUAAAUUAAGAAUGAAAAUUGACAGUUAAAGACUCUCACGAUCACUCUACAAUACUGUGACCUGAAUGCUGAAUCAGCAACUUAAGUUUUAGCCCAUUUGCCACAUACCUCGAAAAUAUCCCAUCCAAUUUCAUGCAACUAAUCACACAAAAAAUAACUUCUUUUGACUUGAUCAAAAAAGACAGCUUAGGGCCCGUUUGAAAACCAUUUCAAUUUUAGUUUUUAGUUUUUUUUUUUUGUUAGAGUAUACAGGAAAAAGAAGGAGAAUGAAAUUGAGUGAAGAUGAGAUUGAGAGAGAAGAUGAAAAGAGAGGAUAAGAGGAAGGAGUGACAAAAGUGAAAACAAAAACUAAAAACUGAAAUAUAUUUGAAAUUGUUUUCACUUUUGUUCCUCCUCCCUCCCAUAUCCUCCCUUCUCAUCAUCUCCCUCAUCUCAAUCCUCACUCCCACUCUCAUUUUUCUCUAACAUUCUAGCACAAAAAAUGAAAACCAAAAACAAAAAUUGAAAUGUUUAUCAAAUAGCCCUUACCUUUCGCGUUCCCACCUUUAAGAGAUGCUUACUUAAUACGUAGUCCAUCUAAAGCAGAAAAAAAAAGCAUUGCUUGGUAAAGUCCAAAACCAAAAGAUUAAAAAUAGGGGUUGGGUUUGGCACUUUAUCCUUUAAUCGUACUUAUCUUCUGAUUUGAAAAAAAAAUCACAAAUUCUUCUUUUCUCUCUCCUUAUCUUUCCAACCCCACUGAUAUCUCAUAAAGGUCUAUAAAUAGGGAGAACCAAGCCACAUUAUACUCACUCAGCAAUCAUCUCUUGCAUACUUUCAUAUAUACAUUAUCGUGCUUGUUAAGCAAAACAUGGCAUCCUCAAAGGCUUUUCUUCUUCUUGGUCUUGUCUUUGCUGUUCUCCUCAUCUCCUCUGAGGUCUCAGCUACUCCAACUCGUGAGUUUCUCACUUUCUUAACUAAAUCAUAUAUAUUAAAUAGUAAUUGUAUCUUUCUUUCCAGUAACGAUUUGCGAGUUUAGGCUCAUUUUAAUUAAGGUGCACUGGUCGUGAAAAUGAUUAUGCUUCGAAUUUGUACUAGAUAUAUAUAGCAUUAGUGCUCUAAAAUAUAUUAAUUAUGAGAAUAUCUGGAUGUAAUUUACUCUUUCUGCAGGAAGGGCUAGUGGUUGUUGUACUUGCAUGGCUUAAUCUAUGAUGGUUAAGUGAUGUAUAUUUUAGAGACUAAUGCUAUUUGUAACACAUUUACUGACCAGAUUGCUGAUCACCUCUCUAAUAUAGAUGGGCCCCACAUAUACUGGUGAGGCCACCUCUAUUAGAGAGAUGGUCAGCAAUGUGGUUAGUAAAUGUGUUCCAAAUAGCAGCACUCUAUUUUUUUCUACAUAUUUUCUUGGGUGCUGAUUUUUCCACUCCUUUUUUGGUUUUUUAAUGCUUUUACUUUAACAUAUAAGGAAGUGUAAGUUGACAAAAUAUGAGUGGGAACAUACAAUUUCUAACAAAAGGAGUGUAAGUGGAUAAAAGAUAAGUGAUAAAAUCAGCUCUCUCUCUCUCUCUCUCUCUCUCUCUCUCUCUCUUUUUCUAUAUAUAUAAAGUUUUUGUUUGUUUUAUCAGAGGAGAGUACAGUCAACUAUGAUGACAAUUUUCUUGAUGAUCACGAGCAUGGGCAUGGGCAUGGACAUGACCAUAGGCACGUCCAUGGCCAUGGGCAUGACCACAGGCAUGGACGACAUGGCCAUGGCCACAAUGGCAAAGGGGGACCUGGUGCUGCUGAGACUGAAACCGAGAAUUAGAUAACCUGUUAGUUUCUGUAUUUAUGCUGCAGGUGUAUCGUAAGGGUAGUAGUAUGCAAUAAAGUUGUAAUGGUUUGAGUAAUAUCUAUAAACUCUCAAUCAUAGGUUCGCCUUAAGCUUGUUCUUGUGUUCUCUGUCAUGUACGGAUUGGAUCACCUUGUUAUGUACUAAAAUGUGAUUUAACUUGUUGAAUACAUAUUAUGUCAAAAAUGUCUAGUAUGGCUUGGCUACUUAAAAUUGAGGAGGACAUCCUCACAAUAAAUGAGAUUUUGAAACUUGUUAAACUUCAAAAGAAAAAAAGGUUAAGGGAAUUCCAAAGAAAAAAAAUUAAAGGAAUUUUCCAAGUUUCAAAAGUCUAUUUGUUUUGAAGACGAACUCCUCCUCAGUUUUAAGGAGUGUAAGUUUUUUCCUAAUAUUAAUGGAGUUUCAUAUAUGACUCAUUUGUUUUGUGUGAUGACCAUUUGGUUAAUGAGUUGAGCACCGAAUCUAAUGAAGUGAUUUACGAUUGAUUUUAUGUGAACAUUGGAGGCCAGAGUAGUGUUUCCCACCGUUGACAAGGGAUUGGAAGAUCGAGCUUGAUGGAAAAAUAAUAAGGAGCAAAACUUAUAGAAGCAUGCCAUGCAUGUAUUGUUGUUAUCAUGAUGAUACUAAUUUGGCAAUUUCUAGCUUGAUAAAAAAAAGAAGAAGAUAACUUAACAUCUACUCGUUUACCUAGGCAUUUCAAUACAUAUCUGUCUUCAUGUAAUGUUUACAUUUUUUAAAAGAGAAUGGGAAAAAUACAAGGAGAAGCCUCUAGGGCAUCUUAUAAAGGAAAAAAGAAUCCCAAACAAGCAUGAAAAACAUCUGCUGGGAGAGAAUAUAUCCAAACAUGUGUUUCCUAUGCCAUGGCCUUGAACCGCCAUUGCAUCUGCUAUAAAAUUAGCUUCUCGAAUAACAUGAUUAAAGAAAAUAUAUACUCAAAGGAGCAUGCCAAUCUUAGAAUAUUCUUCUGAUAGUGUGAAGGCAUCAAAAAAAUUCAGACUUGGCGUUUAUGGCAUCAAUAUAUUAGUGUCUGGAAAUCACCUUCAACUUCUAGUCUUCUCCUCUGUCUGCUGGCAACAAAGGAUAAACAAUCUUAGCAAUAAGCACACAAGUGUCUACAGUAUUUCGAGCUCAUGAAAAGAGAGGGUUCCCAUACAAAUAAUAAACCUCGACGGUCCCUGACUGGAUUUGAGCAACAAACCAUAAAAGUUGAGCAUAUAGCAAGUGGGGGAAGGUGGUUUCCAUUGACUGAGGCGAUGCUCCUGUCUAGCAUGGCGAGUCCCUUGGCCAAUGGCUCUAUAAAAAGCCACACCAACAUGUCUCGCAGUAUGUAUGACUUUGAUGAGCGGGUGGAGUUGGAGUUGCUUGAAAAUCCAUUUAUUUCUGCACAUCCCAAAGUUGUAAGAGAAGCCUAGAAUCCAAGCUAGCAAAUCUUUAGAAGGGUUUGGUCUCAAAUUAGAAGGGCAUGGUUCCAUACUUGAGAAGAAGAAGAAAGGCUGUUGUUUAUACCAUAGUCAACAGAUCUCAUUCGCUAAUGGACACGACACUGAAAACCACACAUGCCAAAGGCUUAACCAUCAUAAUCAACCGAAGUGUUAAGAUGAAGAGAAGAACAAAGAAAUGAAGAACAAGAAGAUGAAGCACAGAGAGAAUCUUAGGAGAAGAAUUAGAUUUUCUAUAUUUCGUUCAUCCCUACAAUAGCCUUAGCUAAUAUCUCACUUCUAUGACUCUCCUAACUGCCUUGUAACAAUACUUAACAGCUCACUAACAAACUUCAGGGCUGGCCCUGAUAUUUUUAAGGCCCAGGGCAACGUCGAAAAUAUACCCUAUUUAUGUAUAGCUCUACACAAGAAAGAUCAUUUUAUUUUAUUUGCACAUGUGUGUAUAUGAAACCUUUUAUAACCAUACAAAAAAUUUUAGGGCUCCGACAAAGUGUCAUUUAAUUUUUGUAUAUAAGAAAUGAUUGAAGAUGCUAUGUAUCUAUAGCUCAACACACAAGAAAAAUAAUUUGAUUUUAUUUGCUCGUGUGUUUAGAAUAUUAAAAAAUAGAACUUUUAUAACCACAGAAAAAAGUUUAGGCCUCCGACAAAAUGUUAUUUAUUUUUUGUAAAAAAGUACUAAAAAGAACCAUGCACUCGCAUAAAAAAGAGGCGCAAGGAUAUAACUAGUUACCAAAAUAUGACCACAUAAAAAAAAUUAAAAAAAUUUGGGCCCUCCCUUGAGCCAAGGCCCAGGGCGGUCACACUGACUACCCUAGCUCAAGGCCGAGGCUGACAAGCUUAACAGCUCACUAAUAAUAUUCUAAUAACUCACUCCUUAAUCUGCUAACACUUGGCACUAUCAUCAUCAUGAUAUUCUUACCCGAAUUGACUGCAAUAACCACGCAAGCCUCAAUCAAGAUUGUUGAUGGAAGACCCUACCGAUUGGUGAGGCACAAUCCGCCAUCGCUGAACGACAAUAAGGACCAUCAAAAAAUCCGAAUGUGCUUCUCAACCACUAGGCAUCAUGCUUGCCGAAGAAGGAUCCAAACAAGGCUGUCAUGUCAGUUUUAGGAUACAUGCCAUCACCACAACAAUUGACAGGAAGUCUCACAUUGAAGAAAAUGUGCAAAUAUCCCUUACCAUUUGUCUAUACACUAUUCCCAAAAUGGAAGAUAAUUAAUCAAUGCUACCAUUACUCUGUAAAAAUCAUUUCAGACUUUGCAUUUAGCUAAUUUAAGCAUCAGAGAGCUUUUGGUCGGUACUAGACCGGUGCCAAUAUUUCACCAAUUAUCUUCCUCACAGGUCAUCCUACACUUGCCGAAGGCUGCAUGAGGCAAAGUUUUGAAGAUCAGCUCCCUUUAGAGUUGCAUCCAAUUUUGGACAUCAACAACAAUUUAUGAAGAGGGUUGAAAGAUUCAGUUUUUGUCUCACAUAAAGCACACAUUAGAUUUGCAUGGGCAUUAUUUGAGCUGGUGAUUACUUUUACUUGUAAGAAUCCUCUUGAUUUGGAGGGAUAACCUCCAGUUUUUUUUUUUUUUUUUUUCCAAUGAUGGGUUUUUGGGUGAACAUUUUUUGUGUGUUGAUCUGAUUACUAUGACUAGUCAUACUAUAUAUGUUAUCUCUGUAAUGUUGAAGAAUCUUCACACACCUCUCACUUUAGUUAUUGCUAACACAAGAGAUGUCUAAAUUGACAGGUCCUUCUGAGUGCCUAGAUUGAUAGGACAUCUCACUUUAAUCAUCUUCUAAGUUUGAAUGGAUUUGAAUAUUAAUUGAUAAGUGAAUGUGUCUCUUCUGUUAUGUGUUCUUAGAUCUAUGACUAGUUGUUGACUAGUCAUAUAUUUUCUAGGAUUACUUUGUUGAUACGUCUAAUCUAUGGUCUAUCUUAUCAGCAUUUAAAUUUACCCCUUCCACCUAAUUACUAAUUUUAUUUUGACUUUGGGUGGGAUUUGGAGUUUCCAAAUUUUUGAAAGCAAAUGUUGUAAGGAUAGUACAGCCGAAAAAAUUCAACUAUAUUCUAAUGCAAAUGAUAUUGAAAUGUGGACCUGAAGAAUUGUAAACUAGUGUAAUGGGUUAAGUGAUACAAUCCCUCGAGUCAAACAGAGAGAUAAUGUUUACCAUUUGUUUGUUUGUAAUACAAUCUCAUUUAUCACUCCUUUUUCUCAGCCCAAAUGUAUGAAAUAUUAUCUUUAAUAUCUAAUCAAUUGAAAUAUUAUCUUUCAUAAUCACCCAACAAUUUGAUAUGAUGCUAGCUAUCAAUCACGCUAUCUAACCAACUUUUGACUUAGCUAUUCGUCAUUUUCAUAAUCAAUCACAAACCAAACUCUAUUGACUUUAGUUAUUGCUCCUUACAUUUUGCGCAUAAGGAAAGAGCCAUCUACACCAAUCUGACCACAUUACUAAUCACAUCUUGCACACAAACAAAACUCAUAUGAAAUUUUGCUGAUCACUAACUUAAAUACGUAGUCUUAUCAACCUAUCAAAAUCAAACAAAGCAUCUUGAUUUAAACUAGGUUCUGCCUUUUUCUUUUGGUGAGAAAAAAAAAAAUCUUAAAGGUCUAUAAAUAGAGAGCCAAGUGCCACAUUAUGUUCACUCAGCAGAAAUCAUCUACCCUUCGUACAUUAUUUGUGUUCACCUUGUGCUGAUUACCAUAUGGCAUCUUCGAAAACUUUUCUUCUUCUUGGUCUUGUCUUUGCUGUUGUCCUCGUCUCCUCUGAGGUCGUCUCAGCUCGCGAGCUGGUUCCGACUACUGCUCAAACCCGUCAGUUUCUUUCUUUCUCAAAUAAAUCUUUUGUUUCUUUUAUUCUAGUAUGAGUUCGUAAACUUUUCGAGGCACAUUCUAUAUGUGGUACAGGAUAGAUCAUGACAAUUUUUAAUGAUACGAAUUAAUUUGUAUUUAUAUAUGUGACUUGUAAAGAAAUGAAUGGUUAAGAUUUCUUUAGCUAAAUGAUGUGCCUGCAUGGCUUAAUUUGCAACUUUUCGACAUAUAUAACGUUUUUCUUUUUAUGCUAUUUUCCUCUUCUUUUUUUUUUUUUCUUUCAGAGGAAAAUGUAGAGAAGGAUAACUAUGGUGACCAUUUUCACUGCCACGAGCAUGGACUUUGGGAGCAUGGCCACGGCCAUUGCCACGGACACUGGGAGCAUUGUGGCCAUGGCUGCCACGGAAAAUGGGGACAUGGUGCUGCUGGGAGUGAAAUAGAGAAUUAGAUAUAAACCUAUAAUUUGCCUGUGGUAGUAUAUGUUGCAGGCAUGUUAUAAGGUUCAUAAAUAAAUCUUUGUUUGUCAAUAAAGCAGCAUUAAUUGGUUGAGUAGAUCCAUAACUCCCAAUCACAGCUGGUUUUUAGGGUUUAUUGAUCCUCGCCUUAGAUUUGCUACAAUGCACUUUGAUUUGCUGAGUUGAAGUUGUGUCAAAAGUGUACUGUUGAACUUUGGAAUCUAUCCUUGUAAAUAAAUAAAUUUGAAGUUUUUUUUUAAUUACUGUGCUCCACUGAAUUGAAGUGCAUUCAAUAAAAUUAUAUAACAAAAACUCUCUAUGCGUGGUUGAUUUAUAGAUAGAGUGAUAGAAAUUUGUACAAGUGUUCUAUUGUACUCGGUCCACGUGUCGUGAUGAUAUAGCUGUUAGUCUGUUUGAUAUGAUUAGGGAUUGCUUAAUAGUUAGUUUGCAGGUUAGUUUUGGCGGCAAUUGAUGACUUUGCAGAGCUGUUGAUGAUUUCGUAAAAAUAUUGUAUUCUUGAAUUUUAAUAGCACAAAGUUCUUGUUCAUAUAUCUUCGAGUCAAGGUUGAGGAUAAACUGGGUCUAAUCAUAGAAACAAAAUUGCAACCUUCUACUGGAUUUCAAAUUGGAAAGCCUCUCAUCAAUCAGACUUCACGGAAGCUCACGGCCCAAUACUUAGAGUAGUACGUAUAAAUAGCUUACUAUAUAAGUAGCCAAAGGAAGGACGUGUGCACUUUUGUUACAAUUAUGACAUCCUUAACAUACAAAAACUCUAUGUGUAUAUGUAUAUUUUAUUAGGAGAUUCAUUAUUAUAUCCAAUAUAAGAGCUCAAAUUAUAAAAAUACCAUAUAUGAAAUGGACUUUAGAAACAUACCCAAAGCUCAUUUACAACAUAACAAAAAAAACUUUUAUAAUUACAAAACUGUCAUUGAUUUCUUAACAAACUUAACCCCAAAACCUCAUAAAAAAACCCAAAACACUCAAUAGGGCAUCAAAGUAAUUUAAUAAUCAAAAUUAAAUUAAAUAGGGUCAGCUGUCAUUUUUUGGGUUUGUUUAUAGAAAUUAAAUAGUGUAGGGCUUAUUUAUAGCUUUAGUGCUAAGAAUGUAUAUGACUAAAUAUCUCUAUUUUAUUUUCGAGUCAUACUAGGGAGACCAACUUUAGAUACCAAUUUGUGUACUAUUUUCUAAUAGAGCUGGAGCCCACCAAUACAAUAGGUCACACCUCUAUUAGAGAGAUGGUACACAAGUUGGUUUUUUUUUUUUUUUUUUGAGGACCUUUCCUAUUGAAAGGGGCGAUAGCAUAUUAAACUCACACACACAACACGGAUGCUAGGACUCGAACCCAGGACCUUGCCUGAGGGAGUAAAUACUCCAAACCACUACACUAGUGGGUCCUUUGCACACAAGUUGGUAUUUAAAGUUGGUCUCCCUAGCAUUUUCUUUUUCUUUUUAUAUAUAUGAGUGCUCAAGCGCUAAUUGGUUGGUAAGAUAAGAUGAUGCUAAUCAUUCAUUUGGGCUUACUCCACAACAUCAUCUCACAAUCCAAACCGAUUUUUAGUUCAUCAUUCAAAGAUCACCCUUGUAAAAAGUUAGCCAAAUUAGACAACAUUUUGUCAUUUAGGUGUGAUCAAAUAAACACAAACACAAUUUAUUCAAGAUGAUAAUAAAAUAGUUAAAUUCUUUAUGAUUUGGCUAAUUUAAAAUGACACUAAAGUUUGAGAGAUUAACCUUAACUUUUUAUGGGUGCCAAUAACUUUCCUAUAUAUAUAAUAUAAAUAUUUUUCUCCUCUUUAUUUAUUUGGAAAAGAUGCUUUAUUAAGAGAAGUACUGUGGGGCCCAUUUGGUUCAUGAAAAAGAGACUUAGGGAUGGAAAAUCAAUUACUUUUCCAUAUUUGGUAAGUCCAGGCAUGGAAAAUGGUUGUGUGACAUAUGAGAAAGUAGAGGGAAAAGUGAAGCCCUCCUCCCAACUUGGGUGACAUAUGGGAAAGUUUAAGAAAAUGAGUCAACAUUAAAUGCACAUUUUUUAUGACCAUUUUGUCCCCAUUAACAAUUUAGAACUAUAAUAUAUCAUUAAAUAUAUUUUUUUUAUUUGAUUUAAUACGGGUAUAAUUGAAAAAUUAUACAAACUUUGUUUUCCAUUCCUACUCAAAACAAACUUAGGAAAGGAAAUAAAGUGAUAUCUCUCUGUUACUUUCCCAACAUUUCCUAACGUGAGAAAUGUUUUCCCCUCAAAUCCGUUCUGUGAACUAAAUGGGGAGGGCGGACCUACGAAGGGGCUCAACCGGGUUUUAGCCCAGUGCUAGUUUUGUACUUUAGUCUUCAUUGUACAACAAAAUCCACUACAAUUAAAUAUUAUAGCCCACUUAUCUUUUAGAAUUCAGCGUAUCCUAGCCACCAAAAUCAGAUUUUAUUUUCUUCUACCCAUUGAAAUUCUACCAUAUUUUCUAUAAAACAAAAUAUAUAUAAUCCUACCAUAUAGUAUUAAUUAGCCCAAAAAUUCUUGGUUAUAAAAGAUCUUCCCAAAAAAAAAAGAAAAAUUACCCACCCCUGAAAAAAUUCCUAGGUCCGCCAUUGAGAAGCACUUACACAAAUGAUAGGAUGAAACCAUAUGAAACCCAACGUAAGAGCCAUGAACAAAAACGUAAUCUUAAAAAAGAUUCGAGCCCUGAACUAAUUACAAAAAAACAAAGAAAAGAAAAAAGAAAAAGGAAACCAGAACACCCCUACAUGUUGCACACCCAAAAUGGCUUUGCCAGCAACAGAAAUUGUCAAGAAGAACAAAAAAAUUAAGAAAAAACUUUCAAAAAACAAAGAGAUAGUAAAAUAACACAAUCAUAUAUGGACAAGAAAAAGAAAAGAAAAACUGCAAAUUAGAGAAAGUAAAGAAAACCUGCUAAAACAACCCAACACAAAUUAAAAUACAAAAUAAACCAAGAAAACAUACAAAACAGCAAGAAACCAAAAGAACAUAGAAAUAAACCACAAAGAGUCUAAUUUAGCAGACUCUAUUAGCGGGAUGCCCAAAUAAGUUCCCUUCAUUCUCUUUGUGGUUUAUUGUGCUUUUUCUCUGUUCUUUGUGGUUUAUUGUAGGUUUUCUUUGUGUUAUGGCAAUUUUGUUUUGCUUCUUCUCUUUAACAAGCAAAGAUAAGGGUGCAAUCGUUAUCCAUUAUAAUAUUAUAAUAAUAUUAUUUUUGCCUAAUCAUGCUCAAAUGUGGAAUUCUGAUAAAGUUGGUGUUGGAGAUCAAUUAGAAAUUAACCAAAUAACAGAAUAUAACAACACGAAAAUAAAUUAUAUAUAUUAUCAAAUCAUCAAAUUAAUACAACAAAGUUCAAUACAACAGUAGAAUCAAAUAGAAAAUACUAACGUGAUUGGAUGAUAGAAUUCUGCAGAGUUGCAGUGUCCUUUAGACAACAUUUCUCCUCUACCUCUUGUGUUUGUAAGUUCAAUAGAAGGCUGUCCACUAUGAUUAAACUAUCACAAAUUAAAGCCUAAGUAAGAUGACUUUGAUUUCUGGCGAACAAUGACAUGUUUUUCUCUCAUGAAAUGAUUAUUUGUGGAGAAAUGAUAAUGUGAUUUCAAAAUUCUAUGCAUAAUGGCUUGAACGAAUUGUCUUUUAUAUAGAGGUCUGAUACCUCUUCAUCCAAUACUUGUAAGAACUGCAUAUAUAUACAGUGAGCUUCUAUUGAGGGAUUCCUCAAAUAAAUAUUUGAGGGACACCCUUAUAUGGCCCACUCCGUAUUGUAUUUCACUAAUCCAAACCGUCUAUUUUGUAGAUAUUCAUUCAAAGAUCAUCUCUACAAAAAAUCACUUGAAUCCGAUAUCAUUUGAUCACUCAAUUAAAUUAUUAAAAUUUUAAUACUUUUUUAAAACACCGUGUUUAUUUUUUGAUAUAAUAAAUUCUGUUUUUUCAAAACAAAAUUCCUGAUGGAGUUCCGAUAUGGGAAAGAAGCCUUUAUUUCUUUUGUGUAAUAUCAUGAUAUUGAACCGAGAUGAAAACUUCCUUCAUGGUUCUCUUUACAUUGUCACCCAUUGAAAUUAGUAUUUUAAAGCUAGCCUAUGAUUGAUGAGUCUAACUUCUAACAGUGACCACCGUAUACGAUUUGAAUCAAACCUAAGAGAGACCAUUCUAAAGAAUUUUUCAGAUUAAUGAUUUGUCGAAGUCUCAAUAAAAAGAAAACAGGAAAAGAGAAACUUGAUAUGCAGAUCGUAUGAAGAUUUCCAAUCCCCUUCCGCUACAAAAACAAAAGCUUCAGUGUCUCUGUUCUUUUCUUUCCUGGAAGUGUUAACAGCAUAAAAACUUUUGUCAUUUGUUAUGAGUUGCAUAGUUUGCAUGACAUCAUUAUAGCAACAUCACAAAUCGUCAUAAAUUGAAGAACAGAACCUAAGUAGAGAAUUACUCAUAUAUUUAUAUUGAGGGAAGGAAAUAUAUCAAGAAAGUAGAUUUUGAAAUAAAUAAUAGUACUCUUUCUACUUUAGCUUGAUUUGCAUGUCGGAAAAGAUUGAUAGAAAAGCGACAAAUCCACAAUACAUGUGAGAGUCGACAUGGCACUGUGAAAAGUCUUUCUUCGAAACUUCUUUGCAACCACAUCCUUUGCAUUUGCCUUCAUUUAUUAUAAAUUUUGGAAUAGCUUUUAACUUUAUUUUUAUUUUUAUUUUUAUUUCUUUGUCGGAAUGUCCUUUUGCCUUAAUUAUUGGAUCAGUGAUAAGAUGAAGCCACUGCAAACCACCAAAAAUUAUAAAGUCGAUGAAGAUAGACAGAAGCAACAUAGGUAGUGGUCCAAUCAGUGCCUACAGCUUUCUUUAUCCCUGUAAUAUCCCACAUCGACUAACGGAGAGGAAAUGAUGUACCUUAUAUGUACAUGUCCACCUUUAUCUAGCACGAGACUUUUUCGAAGUUAAGUGAGUUUGGGCUAGAGCAAUCCCAGAAUGGAUGACCCACUGGGAAGUUGCUCGUGAGUUCCCAAAAAUAAAACCGUACCCAAAGCGGACAAUAUCGUGCUACGGCGGAGCUGAUCCCGAGAUGUGACAAUCCCUCUUACAAACAUAAAUAAUAUGGUAUAAUUUAUACACAUGUAAUAAUAUGAAUGGACGACACAGACCAAUUACAGUGAGAUACAUGUACAAAAGUACCUCAUCAAAUUUACAAAAUAAAAAGUUAGGCACACAUGUGAGAUUGUGAUUUGUUUAUAAUAUGAAAUGACUCAUCCUUACAUAUGCAAUGAGCCAAAGAUUUUCCUUAAUCAGUUUGGAUGGAGAAAAUUAACUCCGAAUUGAGCUAAAAGUUAAUAAUUGAAGAGGAGAAAUUGAUAUUAAAUGACGUGCGGAAAAAAUCGUGGAAAAUGGGUUUCGAAAUUUCUAAGUUAAUUUUCCCAAAAGAGGAAUCAUUUCACACUUUCUAUUGGAUAAGAAUUUAUUUUUCAAUAUAGUUUCUAUCACUUACAAAAUUUGACAUAUAUAAAUUUAAAUAUUAAAAUUAUUAAUUGUUAAAAAUUUAAAUAAUAGUAAUAUAAAUUUCUUCAUUCAUUCGUUCAUCCAAAUCAAAGGUAAAUAGUGCCCUAGUAUAUUAGGGACGAAAAGUACCAAAACAAACCCCAAUACCCGUGCUAGUGUUGACCUUUUUAGUAGAAUUUAUCUUAUCUAUUUCUAGUGUAAUACGUGUUUUUGGACUUGUGGUGAUUAUUAACAGGUGGCAUUGGUUAUCUCGGAUUGGUGUCGGUUUCUAAUGAGUUGGUUUGUAAUGCUAAUUUCUUUUGCUCAUUGUUUCUGGGUUUCUGUAGGUUUAUUGUCAAAUUUUUGUAUUUGCCAGAAGCCUCAUCCAAAAUUGUAUAUCGCCCCCUGUUGCUGUAUGAAGGGAAAACAAAUAAGGUUCUCCAAAAAAAACAUAUUGGUUGAGACUUCACUUUUUCUUGCUGAACACAUGUAUCACGUGUCAACUUACUUUCUUUCUUCUUCUUCGUCUUUUCUAUUUUUUAUUUAAUUAAUUUUGUUUAUUUUUAAUUUUUUUUCAGUACCCCUUUUUCUUUUGUGCAUUUACGCGCUAUACGAACUGAUAUAAACAAUUCAUGACGAUUAAAUGGGAGCUUUCCAGUUCUUAACUUUACCUUAUCUUCAACUUUAUAUCACAUAUUGUACUAAUCCUUUUAAAAGCAUGACACUUUUGUGUGUGCAUUUUCUUUUGACGAUACGUUCCUUUUAAGUGAUCUUGAUGCUUGUUAUAAAUUUUGUGCAUAAUUAAGUGUUCGUUUGGCAUUGCUUAUUUGGGGUAAUAAGUGAUUUUUUAAAAAUUUUGAGAAGUCCAAUCCGUUUGGUAAACUGUAAGAAAAUCACUUAUUGUUAAAAAUUGCGAUGAGAGAAAGCUAUAGGGGAAAACAGCUAAUGAUGUGCUUUCAUUUUCUGAUUAUGCAGGAAUCAGUUUCAAAGAGGCGCUAGGUUUAAUGAUUAUGCGGCAAUCAUUUUCUGAUUAUGCGUAAAAUCAAUAUCAACAACACUUUUAACAAAAAAUUUACCAAAUGCCAAACUGCUUUCUCUUACAGCUGAUUUCUCUCAUAGCAAAUCUGAGAGCGAUUAUUUUCACUGUACAGCAAUGCCAAACUGGAAGUUAGUUUCUUGGUAUUUAACUCUUUUAAUGUUUUUAUUUAAUUAUAAAAUUUAAUUUGCCUUCUGGAGUAUACAUGUCAAUUUACUCUUCAAUAUGAACUUUAACUAAUUAAAUACGAUUUUCCCGACUUCAAAUAAUUAAAUAUAAUUAGGGACGUGGAGUUGUUGGGCUCUGAUAUCAUGAAGCAAGUAGAGUUUCCAUCCUACAAUCAAUUGUGAAUGGAGGGAGUGACCAAACUUCUUACAAGCCAUUUGUGAGAUUUCUUAACUUUUCAACGUACAUAAGACAUUUCUUCCCAUUAUCAUAUAUAUAUAUAUAUAUAUAUAUAGUAAUGUAUAGAAUUAAAACUUGCUACUCUAGCUAGCUAGCAGCUUUCUCAAUUACAUUUAGAGAUGAAUAAUAUGGCAAAAAAUAUGAUAAAUAUGUAUAAUUAUUAUCACACCUUUUGUCAGAUAAAAAUGGUGUCUAGAAAUGUAAAUAUAGAAUGAAAACUGAAAUGAAAAGGACUUGCAUAAUCAUCACUCUACAGUGAGAGGCAUGAAAGAUGAAUACGGAGAGACCAAGCCAAAUUAAAAGAUGUGAGAAACUCAGGUUGAAUUUCUCUCUCUCUCUCUCCCUCCACCACCCCACUCUAUCUUAAAGGGUCUAUAAAUAGGGAGAGCUAAUCCCCAUUAUGUUCACUCAGAAAUCACGUCUUAUCUUGUCUUGUUAAUUAUAAGCAAAAAAAUGGCUUCCUCGAAAACUUUUCUUCUGCUUGGGCUUAUGUUCGCUGUUGUCAUCCUCAUCUGCUCUGAGGUCUCAGCUCGUGAGCUAGCUGAAACUACUACUCCAUCUAGUCGUGAGUUUCUCCCUUUGUUAACAAAAACAUAUAAGUCUCUUUUAUUCCUCUGAUUUAUGAAUUUAAUUUAUGCAUGGCAUCUAUCCUUUAGUUGACGAGACGUAAUAACAUAUCAAUAAUUUUUUACAAAUCUGGAUGUUUCAUCAUUUUGCAUGUACGUACGUAUAUAUAGGUCGACGCAUACUUUUUAUAUAUUCAUUUAUCUUAUUCUCUUUCUAUAUAUAAAAGGAGGCGCAGUGUCAUGUAACCGUCCAGGCGCACUGUGCCAUGGCCGUGGAGAAAAAGGCAAUAACCCUAAACCUGGAGGAGAGCAUUGUAAAAAGAAUCCAAGUCUCAGAGGGUGCUAUAACCAUGGAGGUCAUGAACGUGGAGGAGAGGAAGACCCUAUCCAUAAAAGGCAUGGUCAUGAACACGGAGGAGAGCAUGACCCCAACCAUAAAGGCCGUGGUCAUGAACAUGGAGGAGUAGUGCUUGAACCCAUCCAUGGAGGGAAAGGCCACGGUCACGAACGCGGAGGAGAGGGAGACCCUAACCAUGGAGCACAUUGUAAACGUGGAGAAACCAAUAGAGCGUGCUACGGGCAUGGAGGUCAUGAACGUGGAGGAGAGGGAGACCCCAUCAACCACGGCAGCAAAAACAGACCAGGACAACCAGGCACCGCUGAGACCGAAACAAAGAAUUAGAUAAAACCUUGGCCUGUGUACGUGUGUGGAAAGUUUGUUUGUCAAUAAAAAGGUCUAUUACAUAUAUUGGUUGAGUAGUUGUGAACACUCAGGCAAAAUCAGACCUACUAUAUAAGGUUUAUCUCUGUACUGUUACGUAAUGUAGUCUUGGAUCCUGCUUGUUAUAUGUACUUAAUGCAUGUGUUUUAAUUUUCUGAAUUGAUAUUGUGUGUGGAAAGUGUCUAGAAUUUCAAGUUUACCUUUAAUUGCUUACUGAGUUCCAUUUGAAAUCUCACAAUUUUCUGUUUUGAUUCGUGUCAUGAAUAAAUAAUAAAUAAACUAUGAGAGGGACCAAAUAGAACUAAUGCACACCCACAAAAAGUAUCAAUUAUGGUCAAUCAAUGCAACUAGCUUCUAAAUAUGGGUGGUUAGAUCCAUAAUAAGAUGAAGCCAUUGGAAACCACCAAAGUUUAUAAAGUUGAAUAUCCUUACACAAUGGUAAUUUUCCUUCUAAAUAAACAAAAUAAAUCUUAAAUUUUAACCUGGUGAUUAUUUGUUUAUGUCUAAUCUCAUUUAUUUUUCAACUAAUUUUUGUUAGUAGUGUAUUAGAAAAAACUAUUAGUGUGCUCAAAAACAUAAAUUAAUUGAUGAAUGGUCUUUAGAGGAUCCUUUUUAUAAUUUUAGUUUCCGUCUUUAAAAAAAAUUAGUUAAGACUACAAUUUUUUUAAAAAAAAUUAGUGAACACAUGUAUCACGAGUCAACCUACUUUCUUUCUUCUUUUUUUCCUUUUUUUUUUUUUUUUUUUUCUGGGAGUGCAUUUACACGUACAAACUGAUUUAAACAAUUCCUACACAACAGCUAUUUGAUGAUAAAAUGGAAGCUUUCCAGUCGAGCUACUUUCUGUUAAUUUAUCUUUAACUUUAUGUCACGCUGAGUCUACUAAUCCUCUUACGAGCAAGACUUUUUUUUUUGUUCCCUGAGCUUUGAAGUAAGACACUUUUGUGUGCAUUUCUUUUGACGAUUAUGUCCUUUUUAGGUAGAGCUUGAGCUUGUUUAUUAAUUAUCUGCGUUAGUUUCUAGUACUUAAUGUUUUUUUCUUUGCAGACGUGGCUUAGGCCAGUUGGUUCAUAUAGUGAGUUUAUCUCCGUACAUAUUUUAAAUAUACGAAAUAUCCAAUCCAAUAUUAAUUACCAAAAUAACCAUUUGUGUCUGAAAAUAUAAAUAUAAGAAAGGAAACAAAAAUCGAAAAGACUUUUGUAAUCACUCUACAGUGAGAGACAUGAAAAAUGAAUAUUAUAAUGAGUGAGAAUACUAUUCCUGUUGUAAAUGCAUGAGUUGGUGGAUGGCCACCAUACCUCUUAAUAUUCCACCGUUGGAUUUUAUGUAACCUAUGCACUAAGUAUUUGUAAUUAGUGCUUGUAACCUAUAUGUAUAUUGUAAAUGAUGGUAUUCAAUCUCCUAUCUUGUAAGCCUAUAAAUAGGUGGUUCUACCAAAGAUUUAGGGUAGAAUAAACAUGGUGAAACUUUGUCUUUAGCAUAUCACUUCUCUCUACAUUUUCUCCCUCUAGUUUUAUAACAAUUCCACCUAUUCGUGAGUUUCUCCCUUUGUUAACAAAAUAUAUAUAUAUAUAGUUUUCUUUUAUUCCUCAGAUUUGUGAAUUUAAUUAAGCACAUCAUUCAUACAAAUCUAUGACAUACCAAUAAAUUUUGAUAAAUUAUCCUGAUUUUUCCGUAUAUAACAUUUUUGUUUCUAUGUUAACUCAUCAGGAUUUAUUAGUUUGAAAUUAAUUAUGAUUGUUGUACAUAAUCUUGGAUUAAUCUUCCUAUGGAAAUAGCUCCUCUACAACUACACAAUUUAUUUAUUUAUUUUUUUGAGGUCCUUUCCUAUUGAAAGGGGCGAUAGCAUAUUAAACUCACACACACAACACGGAUGCUAGGACUCGAACCCAGGACCUUGCCUGAGGGAGCAAAUACUCCAAACCACUACACUAGUGGGUCCUUUGCACAACUACGCAAUUUAUAUAGUUGUGAAAUAGCUCCUCUAUUAAUUAGUAAGAUUAUUCUAACAUUCAAGAUAAGUUCUAUAAGGAGAAUGCCCCAUAUAUGAUGCCGUGAAUUAGCCAUCCAUAUAUAUAUAUAUACAUACAAGGAGUUUUAGUUGAGGAAUUCUUCAAAUAAGCUUAUUUGAGGGACAUCUUUGUAGUGUCCAUUUCGUAUUAUUUCACUAAUCCAAACUGUCUAUUUUGUAGAUACUCAUUCAAAGAUCAUUUCUACAAAAAAUCACUUGAAUCCGAUAUCAUUUGACCACUCAAUUGACGUAUUGAAAUUUUAGUACUUUCUUGAAGCAUCGUGUACAUUAAUUUUGUAGGACACAAUUGGAUGUCGAAACAAUUUUCGAUUUGUCUAAUUUUUUGAAAGGAUGAUUUAUGAAUGUAGACUUAAAAAAUUGAUGGUUUGGAUCAUUGAAAAAAAUUCAUAGAGGACCCUAAAGGGUGUCCCUCAAUAGAAGGGGACUGUAUAUACAUAUACAAUUAUUCUCUUAUCCAAAUAUCUAUACGUUGUUACCAUACGGAUGUAAAAAAUACAUGGCGUUCGCACGAUAAUAACGUUUGUACUGUCCAAUAGAAAAUAAACAUAUUUGAGAUUCACCCUUGUAUGGCCCACUACACAUUAUAAUUAAUGAUCUGAACUGUCUAGUUUUUAAAUAUUCCCUCUUAGAUCAUAUAUAUGCAAAAAAAUCAUUUGAAUUCAAAACCAUUUGGCUACUCAACUAUAUGAUUGUUAUCAUAAACUUUUUUUUUUUUUGAAGCAUCGUGUUUGUGUAUUUUAUUAGUUCCAAUUAGAUACCUUUUUAACUUUUAAUUUAUAUGAUUUUUUGCAAGAAUGAUCUAUGAAUGAAGGUUUAAAAAAUAGAUGGUUUGAAUGGUUAAAUUUAUUUCCGUAGAGUAACCUAAAGAAUGUCCCUUAAAUAAAAUUAUUUUAGAGAUCCCUCAAUUAAGGAAAGAAAAAGACACAAUCGUUAUCCAUUUAUUAAUCCUGCUCAAAUGUGGAAUUCUAAUAAAGUUGGGUGCAUUAGGGUUUGUAUGAUAUUAUAUUUUUCUUAUAAAAUAGUUUCGAUGACAUCAUUGUAAGACAUCACAUAAGUCGUCAUAAUUUGAGAAGCCAUUAAAUUAGAUUUAAAGGUGGAUAUAGGUCCAAGAGAAUGACACUGUAUGUACAUAUAUGGAGGAAAAGAUAUAUAUCAAGUAAGAAUAUUGUAAAAGAUUCUGGAAAAACUACAAAUCAACAAUACAUGGCAGUGCGAAAAGUCUUUGUUCAAACCUUUUUUUAUUUCGGUAGAGAGGAGGGCUAAAGCCCAAUACAAAACACGAACUAAUAAUUAAUAUUAAAUGGUCGAUAGCAAGGGAGCAUCCCAAAUAUGGAGACCCAAAGGCUUAAUAAUUUGGCAACCAGAAAAAAAAAAAAAGCAUAUAUCAACAACAUAAUUGUUUUCCCUAAACACAUGAUGAAUCUGACACAUACCAUCAGACAUAAUAGGUUUGCAACAAGAUAUAAGACUGAACAACGGGUGCAAGGGAUCACAACUAUGAGCAUUAUGACCUAAUUUUUUAAUAAUUUUUUUUUGUAGGAAUACCUUUUAGCUUAGUUAGAUCCAUAAUAAGAUGAAGCCAUUGGAAACCACCAAAGUUUAUAAAGUUGAUGAAUAUCCUUAGACAAUGGUAAUUUUCCUUCUAAAUAAACAAAAUAAAUCUUAAAAUUUAACCUGGUGAUUAUUUGUUUAUAUCUAAUCUCAUUUACUUUUCAACUAAUUUUUGUUAGUGGUGUAUUAGAAAAAACUAUUAAUGUGCUCAAUAACAUAAAUUAAUUGAUGAACGGUCUUUAGAGGAUCGUCUUUAUAAUUUUAGUUUCCGUCUUUAAAAAAAAAUUAGUUGAGACUACAAUUAAAAAAAAAAAAUUAGUGAACACAUGUAUCACGAGUCAACCUACGUUCUUUUUUCUUUUCCUUUUUCUUUUGUGCAUUUACACACGGAUUUAAACAAUUCCUACACAACAACUAUUCGAUGAUAAAAUGAAAGCUUUCCAGUCAAGCUACUUUCUGUCAAUUUAUCUUUAACUUUAUGUCACACCGAGUCUACUAAUCCUCUUACGAGCAAGACUUUUCUUUUGUUCCCUGAGCUUUGAAGUAAGACACUUUUAUGUGCAUUUUCUUUUGACGAUUAUGUCCUUUUUAAGUCAUGAGCUUGAGCUUGUUUAUUAAUUAUCUGCAUACGUUAGUUUUUGGUGCUUAAUGUUUUUUUCUUUGUAGACGUGGGUUAGGCCAAUUGAUUUGGACAGUGAAUUUGUCUUUGUAAAUGCUUUAAAUAUACGGAGUAUCCAAUCCAAACUAAUCACCAAAAGAACCAGUUGUGUCUAGAAAUAUAAGAUCGGAAACUGAAAUUGAAAGGACUACUUUUGUAAUCACUCUACAAUGAGAGACAUGAUAGAUGAAUAUUAUAAUGAAUGAGAAUACUAUUCCACCUAUUCGUGAGUAUAUAUAUAUAUAUAUAGUUGUCUUUUAUUCCUUAGAUUUGUGAAUUUAAUUAAGCACAUCAUGAAUACAAAUCUAUGACAUAUCAAUAACUGUUUGAUAAAUUAUACUGAUCUGUCCGUAUAUAACAUUUUUGUUUCUAUGUUAACUCAGGAUUUAUUAGUUUGAAAUUAAUUAUGAUUGUUGUUCAUAAUCUUGGAUUAAUCUUCCUAUGGAAAUAGCUCCUCUACAACUAUGCGUUUUAUAUAGUUUUGAAUGUGCUAUUAAUUAGUAAGAUUAUUCUAACAUUCAAGAUAAGUUCUAUAAGGAGUGUUGAUGCUCAAAAAUGGUCCAACACUUUUGGGGCAAACUUAGUGAUGUUUUGAUAUUCAGCAUCUUUUGAGCUUCAGUAGAGCGAUCGAUCUGCAAGAUAGAAAACGCUCCGUAAGCCCUUGGGCACCAGUGUGGUACCAGUCGAAGGCUCUAUGAUGCUUAAGUAAGAAUAAGUACGGAGUGUAUAGUAAUCUGGACAGAGUAAUGGCUGAAUUGCCGAAAGUCUCGGUUAUACCCUUUGUGGGACUUGUGCCCACUUUUAUAAGUCUUGGGGAGGUGUGCAUGUUAUGUGAAACUUCGAUGUGGGAUUGUUGAUAUUGCAUGUGGUGGCUCCACGUGUCUCAACAAGGAAAUGGUUAGUAAGAGGUCUUGUGUUGUAUUCGACAGUAAGGGGUGCCGAACGCUCCUUACCGAUGGCUUCUUACUUUCCAUGUGGGAUCUUCUCAUUGGUCAAUCAUAUAAGGUAUAAACAGGAGUCCCUUAAGUUUCCAUCUGAGAGAAUCUUCUUAGUUGGGGACUUGCUCUUAUCAUCAGUACCCUGGUCAACCAGGGUUUUGUUUACAAGGCGUUGCUCGGUAUAGGAUGUUUAAACAAUCCAUGGUGUUCCGUUCGGUACCCCUCUCUGGGGUAGGCAUUUCAUCGGCAGUGUUAGUGUUUUUGUAGGAAAUUGUAUUCCUGGCCUUUCAUGGGCCAUAAAAGUAUGUAACGUUCGGUAGAAGUGAUCUCCCAAACAGUAAAGCGUACUGGGGCUACCUUCUUGGCAUGAUAAAUACGCAGUGCCGAUCGGUAGUUUUUAGAAUCUUCUGAACAUUUACGUGGAUAACAUGACGCUUAGUCUUCUAUGUGUGGUGUGCGCGUUGGGAAGCGAAACUGAGAGCAUGGGAUAACCUUCCGUGCAUAGCGUGUAGGUUGCUACCGCACAUUACUGGUGCCACGUGUCGUGAGCACGCAUGCGAAAUGAAGUAAUGAUGGCCUCAGUUGCAUUAUUGAGGCGAACCAAUUGGUUUCGUCUGUAUAAAAAGGAGGUGACUUCGGAUUUGGAAAUCACUUGUAUUGUGAGAGCCAUUUGCGAGCUUGUGAAGAGACGAUUUCCGGCAAGCAUUCUUCAUUGAGAAGGCGAUUUUCGGCGACUGUUUACACGGCGGAGAGAUUUCCGGUGACUUUGUCAACCGUAAAAAACAAGGCAUGUUGCUCUCUUAGCUUUCUUUUUCGAUCAAAUGCACCCUUUUGGCUUGAACUAGUCUAUGAAUAUGUAUGAUCACGAAGAAUGUUCGGUAAUCUAUUUGCCGUAAGUAGCAAUAAUCAUAGGACUCCCUAGUUUGAUCUUUGCAUGGCAUUUAGUUUCCCUUUCAUUUCUAUUUGUAGGAAAGAUCAGGCUGGAAUUUUUUAGGAGAGGGCACCCGUGUUUGCAAGGUGAAGAUCCGGCAGACCACCCUGGCCAUUUUUUGAGAUUGGCUGGAAGCCUAGCCCAGUUGUGCAAGGAGGAAAACUCCCAGCUGCCUGGCCUUGCUUUGGCUGGAAGAUUCGGCCAGCUGUUGCAAGGAGAGGGCCUAAAUAGUGCGAGUUGGCUGGAAACCCAGCCCAUUUGCAGGAAUUGGCUGGAAGCCCAGCCCGGAUGUUGUGAGGGCACCCGGUUGACAAAAAGGUCACGCAAAGUGGCUGGUGAGACAAUUCCAAAGCGAUCUUGAAUUUACUUAGUUGACCAUUUAUUCCAAACCCAACUAGUUGUAUUUUAUUUAUUUAUUGCUAUUUGUUUAUUGGCUAGGCUCCUUGGAAUUGGAUACCACACCCAAACAAAAAUAAACCAAGAAAACAUACAAAACAACAAGAGACCAAAAGAACAGAGAAAAAAGCACAAUAACUCACAAAGAGAAUCAAGGGAACUUACUUGGGCAUCCCGCUAAUAGAGUCUACUAAAUAUUCUUCUGUUUAACAAGCAAAGAUAAGGGUGCAAUCGUUAUUCAUUAUAAUAAUAUUAUUUUUGACAAAAAGCAUUUGCAAUGGUUAUGAUCAAUGCAAUUUUAUUGCAUGAAAUUGAACAAAAACAAUAAAAUCUCACUUGCAAUGGUGUUAAAUGCAAUUACAAUACAUGGUGCUAUGUGAUGAACCCUGUAUUGCAAUUGCAAUAGGCUAACUAUGGACCCAUAUGUCAAUUAAAAAAAAUAGAAAAAAAAAAUACAUCAAUUAAUGUAUUAUGUUGUUAAGAGUAUCCGCAAUGGUUGUUCAAUAGUUCAAUGCCAAAAAAAAAAAAAAAAAAUUCAAAUAUUUUCAAAAUUG